UACGUAGGCAGCAAGCGUUGUUCGGAAUCACUGGGCGUAAAGGGAGCGUAGGCGGGUGUUUAAGUUAGGUGUUUAAUCCUGGGGCCCAACCCCAGUCGUGCACCUAAAACUGGACAUCUUGAAUAGUGGAGAGGUCAGUGGAAUUGGGGGUGUAGCGGUGGAAUGCGUAGGAGAUCCCCAAGAACACCAGUUGCGAAGGCGGCUGACUGGACACAUAUUGACGCUGAGGCUCGAAAGCAUGGGGGAGCAAACAGG
rnacentral:rRNA from 1 species